rnacentral:rRNA from 1 species
GGGUUGUGAGGUUAAGCGACUAAGCGUACACGGUGGAUGCCCUGGCAGUCAGAGGCGAUGAAGGACGUGCUAAUCUGCGAUAAGCGUCGGUAAGGUGAUAUGAACCGUUAUAACCGGCGAUUUCCGAAUGGGGAAACCCAGUGUGAUUCGUCACACUAUCAUUAACUGAAUCCAUAGGUUAAUGAGGCGAACCGGGGGAACUGAAACAUCUAAGUACCCCGAGGAAAAGAAAUCAACCGAGAUUCCCCCAGUAGCGGCGAGCGAACGGGGAGCAGCCCAGAGCCUGAAUCAGUGUGUGUGUUAGUGGAAGCGUCUGGAAAGGCGCGCGAUACAGGGUGACAGCCCCGUACACAAAAAUGCACAUGCUGUGAGCUCGAUGAGUAGGGCGGGACACGUGGUAUCCUGUCUGAAUAUGGGGGGACCAUCCUCCAAGGCUAAAUACUCCUGACUGACCGAUAGUGAACCAGUACCGUGAGGGAAAGGCGAAAAGAACCCCGGCGAGGGGAGUGAAAAAGAACCUGAAACCGUGUACGUACAAGCAGUGGGAGCACAGAGCAAUCUGUGUGACUGCGUACCUUUUGUAUAAUGGGUCAGCGACUUAUAUUCUGUAGCAAGGUUAACCGAAUAGGGGAGCCGAAGGGAAACCGAGUCUUAACUGGGCGUUAAGUUGCAGGGUAUAGACCCGAAACCCGGUGAUCUAGCCAUGGGCAGGUUGAAGGUUGGGUAACACUAACUGGAGGACCGAACCGACUAAUGUUGAAAAAUUAGCGGAUGACUUGUGGCUGGGGGUGAAAGGCCAAUCAAACCGGGAGAUAGCUGGUUCUCCCCGAAAGCUAUUUAGGUAGCGCCUCGUGAAUUCAUCUCCGGGGGUAGAGCACUGUUUCGGCAAGGGGGUCAUCCCGACUUACCAACCCGAUGCAAACUACGAAUACCGGAGAAUGUUAUCACGGGAGACACACGGCGGGUGCUAACGUCCGUCGUGAAGAGGGAAACAACCCAGACCGCCAGCUAAGGUCCCAAAGUCAUGGUUAAGUGGGAAACGAUGUGGGAAGGCCCAGACAGCCAGGAUGUUGGCUUAGAAGCAGCCAUCAUUUAAAGAAAGCGUAAUAGCUCACUGGUCGAGUCGGCCUGCGCGGAAGAUGUAACGGGGCUAAACCAUGCACCGAAGCUGCGGCAGCGACGCUUAUGCGUUGUUGGGUAGGGGAGCGUUCUGUAAGCCUGCGAAGGUGUGCUGUGAGGCAUGCUGGAGGUAUCAGAAGUGCGAAUGCUGACAUAAGUAACGAUAAAGCGGGUGAAAAGCCCGCUCGCCGGAAGACCAAGGGUUCCUGUCCAACGUUAAUCGGGGCAGGGUGAGUCGACCCCUAAGGCGAGGCCGAAAGGCGUAGUCGAUGGGAAACAGGUUAAUAUUCCUGUACUUGGUGUUACUGCGAAGGGGGGACGGAGAAGGCUAUGUUGGCCGGGCGACGGUUGUCCCGGUUUAAGCGUGUAGGCUGGUUUUCCAGGCAAAUCCGGAAAAUCAAGGCUGAGGCGUGAUGACGAGGCACUACGGUGCUGAAGCAACAAAUGCCCUGCUUCCAGGAAAAGCCUCUAAGCAUCAGGUAACAUCAAAUCGUACCCCAAACCGACACAGGUGGUCAGGUAGAGAAUACCAAGGCGCUUGAGAGAACUCGGGUGAAGGAACUAGGCAAAAUGGUGCCGUAACUUCGGGAGAAGGCACGCUGAUAUGUAGGUGAAGUCCCUCGCGGAUGGAGCUGAAAUCAGUCGAAGAUACCAGCUGGCUGCAACUGUUUAUUAAAAACACAGCACUGUGCAAACACGAAAGUGGACGUAUACGGUGUGACGCCUGCCCGGUGCCGGAAGGUUAAUUGAUGGGGUUAGCGCAAGCGAAGCUCUUGAUCGAAGCCCCGGUAAACGGCGGCCGUAACUAUAACGGUCCUAAGGUAGCGAAAUUCCUUGUCGGGUAAGUUCCGACCUGCACGAAUGGCGUAAUGAUGGCCAGGCUGUCUCCACCCGAGACUCAGUGAAAUUGAACUCGCUGUGAAGAUGCAGUGUACCCGCGGCAAGACGGAAAGACCCCGUGAACCUUUACUAUAGCUUGACACUGAACAUUGAGCCUUGAUGUGUAGGAUAGGUGGGAGGCUUUGAAGUGUGGACGCCAGUCUGCAUGGAGCCGACCUUGAAAUACCACCCUUUAAUGUUUGAUGUUCUAACGUUGACCCGUAAUCCGGGUUGCGGACAGUGUCUGGUGGGUAGUUUGACUGGGGCGGUCUCCUCCUAAAGAGUAACGGAGGAGCACGAAGGUUGGCUAAUCCUGGUCGGACAUCAGGAGGUUAGUGCAAUGGCAUAAGCCAGCUUGACUGCGAGCGUGACGGCGCGAGCAGGUGCGAAAGCAGGUCAUAGUGAUCCGGUGGUUCUGAAUGGAAGGGCCAUCGCUCAACGGAUAAAAGGUACUCCGGGGAUAACAGGCUGAUACCGCCCAAGAGUUCAUAUCGACGGCGGUGUUUGGCACCUCGAUGUCGGCUCAUCACAUCCUGGGGCUGAAGUAGGUCCCAAGGGUAUGGCUGUUCGCCAUUUAAAGUGGUACGCGAGCUGGGUUUAGAACGUCGUGAGACAGUUCGGUCCCUAUCUGCCGUGGGCGCUGGAGAAUUGAGGGGGGCUGCUCCUAGUACGAGAGGACCGGAGUGGACGCAUCACUGGUGUUCGGGUUGUCAUGCCAAUGGCACUGCCCGGUAGCUAAAUGCGGAAGAGAUAAGUGCUGAAAGCAUCUAAGCACGAAACUUGCCCCGAGAUGAGUUCUCCCUGACUCCUUGAGAGUCCUGAAGGAACGUUGAAGACGACGACGUUGAUAGGCCGGGUGUGUAAGCGCAGCGAUGCGUUGAGCUAACCGGUACUAAUGAACCGUGAGGCUUAACCUUACAACGCCGAAG